UCUUCCCCAUAAAGAAAAUGGCAGCCAUUCUCCCCUAAUCUAAAAUUUCAAACAUUGAUGUUCUCUUCUUCUAUUUCAUCACAACCAUUUCAAAAAAAAGAUUGAAAUAUAUUUGGGUAAGCUUCAUACAACAUAAAGGAAGCUUGAGAAUUGAUUGGAGGUUCAUUUUGUGCUUCGUGUACUACUUAGUUUUUAAUGAUGCUCAUGAUGAUGUUGUUGGGGAAGAAAUUGAAAAGCCCUAAUUAAGGUUUUGCGGUUAAUCAUCAAGGGUCUAAAUUGAAGGGAGAACACGAUUUCUUCCAAGUGUUGAUUGGUUUGCUGGCUAGCUAGAGGUAUAUACUUUUUCUAUCUUUUAAUUAAUUAUGAAUUAGUAAGCAUAUUAGAUGAGUUUGAAUAUCUUAAUUUUAGGCAAUUCUUAUUUUGUGCACAGUUUUUAUUAGUAAGGAUUUAGCAUAUUUUGUAAUGUAUACUUUUAAUUUUGUUAUAAUAUAAUUAGAAUAUAUUUUGUA